rnacentral:rRNA from 1 species
AACGAACGCUGGCGGCGUGGCUAACCCAUGCAAGUCGAGCGCGAAUCCCGGGGCAACUCGGGUAGUAGCGCGGCGGAAGGGUGCGUAAUAUAUGGGUAACGUACCCCGGGCACGAGGAUAGUCCACCGAGAGGUGGAGCAAUACUCGAUGAGAUCACAGGGAGGUAUCUUCCAGUGAUCAAUGGGCGGGGAUCCUUCGGGACCUGCCGGCCUGGGAGCGGCCCAUAUUCCAUCAGCUAGUUGGUAGGGUAAUGGCCUACCAAGGCUACGACGGAUAGCCGGACUGAGAGGUCGACCGGCCACAUUGGGACUGAGACACUGCUUAGACUCCUAUGGGAGGCUGCAGGGACGAAUAUUCCGCAAUGGGCGAAAGCCUGACGGAGCGACGCCGCGUGUGGGAGGAAGUCCUUCGGGAUGUAAACCACUGUCAGGGGCUACCAAGUGAACCGCCAUAACAUGGCGGGGAGUUGAGGCGCCCCAGAGGAAGCCACGGCUAACUUCGUGCCAGCAGCCGCGGUAAGACGAAGGUGGCUAGCGUUGUUCGGAAUCACUGGGCUUAAAGAGCACGUAGGCGGUCUGUUAAGCACCUUGUGAAAUCCCUCGGCUCAACCGGGGAAUUGCUUGGUGUACUGGCAGACUUGAGGCAAGUAAGGGUGCGUGGAACUCUUGGUGGAGCGGUGAAAUGCGUAGAUAUCAAGAGGAACGCCGGAGGCGAAAGCGACGCACUGGGCUUGUCCUGACGCUGAGGUGCGAAAGCCAGGGGAGCAAACGGGAUUAGAUACCCCGGUAGUCCUGGCCGUAAACGAUGUCCACUAGGUUGGGGUUCUUUUGACGGAUUCCCGGCCGGAGUAAAAACGUUAAGUGGACCGCCUGGGGAGUACGGUCGCAAGGCUA